AACAAACCUCAACCCUAAUCCCAUUUUUGAACAAAAUCAGUCGCCUCCCUCCACAUUUUCUCUCUCUACUCAGUCUACCGCGACCACCGACGAACUCCUGUCGCUGCCGCCAUCCAAGCCUCACUUGUCUACUGCUUCGCCUCACCACCGACUAGCCGCCGCCGGUGGGUCUCUUUCUUUUCCCCACUGCUCCAACUUUCCAGCCAUGCAGCCGCCACCCUUCACUCACCUUCCUCUCUUCCUCCUCCGCUCCGGCGAACCACGCCGCCAUGUAUCCGGCGACCACCACACCUCCGAUCAGCUUCGCCUCCCAUCAUUGUUGCUUCACCGGAGGUGAUGACCGGUGAAGCUCUAUUAAUGAUAGCAGGACCUCACCAUCGCCACUGCGACGACACAGUAGACAUGCAGCCGGCGACCACCGCCGCUGCGUUGUGUUUAAGCUUCCGUCUCCGUUCCCGAUCUGGCCGGAGCAACUUUUUCGGAGCAACAUUGACCAAAAUAACUGAUAAAGCGGAGAGCAGGAAUUAGGAGUUUUAAAUUUUGUUCAGGGAUAGCUACUUGCCUGCUUCUGCAAAGCUCAACAACCACAUUCUCCGGCCUAACAGCACGAAUGACCCUUUCAACGUCCACAGCUGAUUCCAUAGAAAGAUGGUACGUUCCAAUCAGCCAAAUGGCCUCUGGUUCCACAAAGUCACUUCUCCAUGGUGGAACAGGUCCAAAUUGACUCUUCUUGAUCAGAAACAGAGUUCCAUUAUCAGCCAAAUCCAGCAAUCCCGGUUGCGCUUCUUCAAUAGCAUCCCGAGAGGCGCUGAAGAACUCAUUCUUGAAAUCGAAGUUGGAUGGUGGCGGCUUAAUGGAAACUCUGCAUUGAUGAUAUUUGGUCCUGGAAAUGGUGGGUUUAGAGUGAGGAGGGAAGAUUGGAAAAGGAGAAGUGAGAAUUCUCAUGGAGGAUGAAGAAGGUUGAUGUGGAAAGAGAAAGCAAAAGGAGAGCUGAGAGAUGAUCGUGAUCAUGUCAAUUGUGGCUCAAAUGGCUGAAUGGGUUGUGAACAUUGGUGUGACAACGUUGCAACUUUUCAUCCUCUGGUUUAGUUUGUCCUAGUAUUGCAAAUAUCUUGAGUUUUAAUUUUCUUUAAUUUAUUAAUUUUAUAUUGGCGGAAUAUAUCCAUGACCUUUUACAC